GCUCAUCUAUGUUUUCAUAGCCAUGAGAAGGACCGAUAAACCUCGACACCGUCUAAACACGGAUUGAUGAGACCUACUCUCCCUCCAGUUCAACUAUUGUUUCUGAGUCUCUGUGCGACCGAGAUGAUGACGUGAUGAGAUGAUGUUAAUUCUUCAACUGGUUUGAGCAGACAUCUGUCCCUCCCCCAGCCCAGCCAUUACUGCAGCUACCCCCCUCGUUGACACCUCUAGUAUGCUACCCCCACUAAGCUCAAAAGCAUACAGCUUUUGCAGACCCAACUCAGCAGAGGCCUAGGUAAAUCACUGCCAAAGGAGUAGAUCACCACCGCUGACAAAUACUCCCUACACAGCCUGACCUGUCUGCCUUACCUGGAAACACCUUUUCCAAUGUGUAGAUAUACUCAUGUUGAAAAUGUACAGAUUAUUUAUGUAACAA